GGAAACUCACCAGGUCCAGACAAAAUAAGGAUUGACAGAUUGAGAGGUCUUUCUUGAUCUUUUGGAUGGUGGUGCAUGACCGUUCUUAGUUGGUGGAAUGAUUUGUCUGCUUAAUUGCGAUAACGAAAGAGACCUGGGCCCUUAAAUAGCCCGGUCCGCAUUUGCGGGCCGCUGGCUUUUUAGGGGGAAUAUCGGCUCAAGCCGAUGGAAGUGCGCGGCAAUAACAGGUCUGUGAUGCCCUUAGAUGUUUUGGGCCGCACGCGCGCUACACUGACAGGGCCAGCGAGUACAUCACCUUGGCCGAGAGGUCUGGGUAAUCUUGUUAAACCCCGUCGUGCUGGGGAUAGAGCAUUGCAAUUAUUGCUCUUCAACGAGGAAAGCCUAGUAGGCACGAGUCAUCAGCUCGUGCCGAUUACGUCCCUGCCCUUUGUACACACCGCCCGUCGCUACUACCGAUUGAAUGGCUCGGUGAGGCCUUCGGACUGGCUCAGGGGAGUUGGCAACGACUCCCCAGAGCCGGAAAGUUGGUCAAACCCGGUCAUUUAGAGGAAGUAA
rnacentral:rRNA from 1 species